GACGAACGCUGGCGGCGUGCCUAAUACAUGCAAGUCGAGCGCUUCGGGGACGGGUGAGUACCACGUGGAAAACCUCGUAUAAGACUGGGAUAAAAUCGGGAAACCCGAGUUAAACCGGACACUUAAAGCUGGAUCCGCGCUGCAUUAGCUAGUUGGUAAGGUAACGGCUUACCAAGGCAACUAUGCAUAGCCGACCUGAGAGGGUGAUCGGUAACACUGGAACUGAGACGCGGUCCAGACUGCUACGGGUGGCAGCAGUGGGGAAUCGUCCGCAAGGGGCGGAAGCCUGACGAAGCAACGCCGCGUGAGUGAUGAAGGUCUUCGGAUAGUAAACCUCUGUUAUUUGGGAAGCGGUACCUAAUCAGAAAGCCACGGCUAACUCCGUGCCAGCAGCCGCGGUAAUAC
rnacentral:rRNA from 1 species